rnacentral:rRNA from 1 species
GACGAACGCUGGCGGCGUGCUUAACACAUGCAAGUCGAACGGAAAGGCCCUGCUUUUGUGGGGUGCUCGAGUGGCGAACGGGUGAGGAACACGUGAGUAACCUGCCCUUGACUUUGGGAUAACUUCAGGAAACUGGGGCUAAUACCGGAUAGGAGCUCCUGCUGCAGGGUGGGGGUUGGAAAGUUUCGGCGGUUGGGGAUGGACUCGCGGCUUAUCAGCUUGUUGGUGGGGUAGUGGCUUACCAAGGCUUUGACGGGUAGCCGGCCUGAGAGGGUGACCGGCCACAUUGGGACUGCGAUACGGACCAGACUCCUACGGGAGGCAGCAGUGGGGAAUAUUGCCCAAUGGGCGGAAGCCUGAUGCAGCAACGCCGCGUGCGGGAUGACGGCCUUCGGGUUGUAAACCGCUUUCGCCUGUGACGAAGCGUGAGUGACGGUAAUGGGUGAAGAAGCACCGGCUAACUACGUG